rnacentral:rRNA from 1 species
UGCGUAGGGUGCGAGCGUUAAUCGGAAUCACUGGGCGUAAAGCGCACGUAGGCGGACUCUUAAGUCGGUGGUGAAAUCCUGGAGCUCAACUCCAGAACUGCCUUCGAUACUGAGAGUCUCGAGUCCGGGAGAGGUGAGUGGAACUGCGAGUGUAGAGGUGAAAUGCGUAGAUAUUCGCAAGAACACCAGUGGCGAAGGCGGCUCACUGGCCCGGUACUGACGCUGAGGUGCGAAAGCGUGGGGAGCAAACAGG